GACGGCCUCAGUAGAGCGAUCUGAGAGCUGGCAGAACCCCUGUCUCCUGCGUGAGCGAUCGUAGGAGACACCGUUCUGUGCUUCGGAAUCCUGAAAAGACUUGGUGCGUUCGCCAAAAAGUUCAGUGGUGCGGCGAACUUGGUUGUACCGAUGGUCGCAUCGCUCGGGAAGGACAGCGUUCUUCUCGCGGCCUCAGUAGCCCCC
rfam:Synechococcus sp. WH 8102 complete genome.